GCUUAAAUAAUUUAAUUAAAAUUUUAAUUUUGUAAAUUAAUAAUGGCUAUGCCUUUAAGCU
rnacentral:tRNA from 1 species